rnacentral:lncRNA from 1 species
CGAGCCCAUGCGGGAACCGUGGCCUCCACCAUGUUUGGUCAUCCCCGUCCUCGUUAUCUUCUGUACAGUGUGUUGUCGACUCCUUCGUUUCAAGCCCGUUUCUGGCCGACCACAUACUGCUUGAACUGAUGAGCUUGAACUACGUGUGCUGCUAGCCAUUUUGUGUUACUUGAACGGCCGCCCUUGCAUCAUCAAAAUCUUGAUUUACUGGGCAAGGCAUGUCACGCAGGGUAGUUGGAAGGGAGGGGAAGCUCGUUGCCUUGACAUGGUUCCAGCGGGAGCCGGGCGGGCUGGUGUACACAGAGGAUAGAGGCCCUGACCUCGUACGUCCAGGUUUGUAUCGAUACUCCGACCAACUCCAUUGAUCUUCUCAGUCAAUGCUCCACUGGUAACUCCAUUCAAAGCUUUGUCAAGUUUGAUUGCCAUGCUCUAGCCUCACAUCACAUUUUUUUCUAGUUCUGCUCAUACUGUAAGUCUGUUGAAACCUACCUAAUAUAUAGCUAAUUCAACAUCCGACAUAUCUGUUGUAUUUGUGUGCCCACACCCUCAUAUGCUUGUACAAAAAAGAAAAUGAAUGUUAGAGUGGGUGAUUAAAAAACUCAAUUUUCUUCUGUUAUUCAAGUAGGCACCUGGAAAAAAUGUUCACCUUGGUUAGAUGAACCAAAUGGGCGGUGUAGUUCUUCUGUUAUUUGAGGAGGCACCUGAAAAAAAUAAACAGAAUAAAUAAGAUGGCAGUAACAACCGGGUUGACUUUUUGUAUUUUUUGUGUAUGAUUGCAGUACUUUUUGUAAGAAAACACAUGGUACUUUGUAAAAAAAACAUUCCGAAUCUAUUUGGACUGAUCGUUCGACUUCUUUUGUAUAGAAGGUUCAAAAAGUUUUGCUCCUAUAAUUGCACAUAUUUAGAGUAUGCGAAUAUAUUAUGCGUUUUUGAAUUUUGUGUUGGAAAUAUGCCCUAGAGGCAAUAAUAAAUUGGUUAUUAUUAUUAUUUCCUUGUUCAUGAAAAUCAUUUAUUAUCCAUGCUAUAAUUGUAUUGAUAGGAAACUCAGAUACAUGUGUGGGUACAUAGACAACACCAUGUCCCUAGUAAGCCUCUAGUUGACUAGCUCGUUGAUCAAUAGAUGGUUACGGUUUCCUGGCCAUGGACAUUGGAUGUCGUUGAUAACGGGAUCACAUCAUUAGCAGAAUGAUGUGAUGGACAAGACCCAAUCCUAAGCCUAGCACAAAGAUCAUGUAGUUCGUAUGCUAAAGCUUUUCUAAUGUCAAGUAUCAUUUCCUUAGACCAUGAGAUUGUGCAACUCCCGGAUACCGUAGGAAUGCUUUGGGUGUACCAAACGUCACAACGUAACUGGGUGGAUAUAAAGGUGCACUACAGGUAUCUCCGAAAGUGUCUGCUGGGUUGGCACGAAUCGAGACUGGGAUUUGUCACUCCAUGUAAAUGGAGAGGUAUCUCUGGGCCCACUCGGUAGGACGUCAUCAUAAUGUGCACAAUGUGACCAAGGGGUUGAUCACGGGAUGAUGUGUUACGGAACGAGUAAAGAGACUUGCCGGUAAUGAGAUUGAACAAGGUAUCGGUAUACCGACGAUCGAAUCUCGGGCAAGUACAUUACCGUUAGACAAAGGGAAUUGUAUACGGGAUCGAUUGAGUCCUUGACAUCGUGGUUCAUCCGAUGAGAUCAUCGUGGAACAUGUGGGAGCCAACAUGGGUAUCCAGAUCCCGCUGUUGGUUAUUGACCGGAGGACAUCUCGGUCAUGUCUGCAUGGUUCCCGAACCCGUAGGGUCUACACACUCAAGGUUCGAUGACGCUAGGGUUAUAAAGGAAGUUUGUAUGUGGUUACCGAAUGUUGUUUGGAGUCCCGGAUGAGAUCCCGGACAUCACGAGGAGUUCCGAAAUGGUCCGAAGGUAAAGAUUUAUAUAUGGGAAGUCCUGUUUUGGUCACCGGAAAAGUUUCGGGUUUUAUCGGUAACGUACCGGGACCACCGGGAGGGUCCGGGGGGUCCACCAAGUGGGGCCACCAUCCCCGGAGGGCUGCAUGGGCCAAGUGUGGGAGGAGACCAGCCCCAGGUGGGCUGGUGCGCCCCCCCCCCACCAAGGCCCAAGGCGCAGGGAAGAGUGGGAGGGGGCAAACCCUAGGGCAGAUGGGCCCUAAGGCCCACCCCAGGUGCGCCUCCCCUCUCUCCCCCUCUGGCCGCCACCCAGAUGGGAUCUGGGGGCUGCCUCCACCCCUGGGGAGGGAACCCUAGAGGGGGCGCAGCCCCCUCCCCUUCCCCUAUAUAUAGUUGAGGUCUAGGGGCUGCCCAACACAUGAGUUUCUCUCCCUCUUGGCGCAGCCCUACCUCUCUUCCUCCUCCUCUCCCGCGGUGCUUGGCGAAGCCCUGCAGGAUUGCCACGCUCCUCCAUCACCACCACGCCGUUGUGCUGCUGCUGGACGGAGUCUUCCUCAACCUCUCCCUCUCUCCUUGUCGGAUCAAGGCGUGGGAGACGUCUCCAGGCUGUACGUGUAUUGAAUGCGGAGGUGCCGUCCAUUCAGCACUAGGAUCUCCGGUGAUCUGGAUCACGACGAGUAUGACUCCUUCAACCCCGUUCUCUUGAAAGCUUCCUCUUAGCGAUCUACAAGGGUAUGUAGAUGCACUCUCCUUCCCCUCGUUGCUGGUUUCUCCAUAGAUAGAUCUUGGUGACACGUAGGAAAAAUUUGAAUUUCUGCUACGUUCCCCAACAGUGGUAUCAGAGCUAGGUCUAUUGCGUAGAUUCUUUGCACGAGUAGAACACAAAGUAGUUGUGGGCGUUGAUUUUGUUCAAUAUGCUUACCGUUACUAGUCCAAUCUUGUUUCGACGGUAUUGUGGGAUGAAGCGGCCCAGACCGACCUUACACGUACACUUACGUGAGACAGGUUCCACCGACUGACAUGCACUUGUUGCAUAAGGUGGCUAGCGGGUGCCAGUCUCUCCCACUUUAGUCGGAAUGGAUUCGAUGAAAAGGGUCCUUAUGAAGGGUAAAUAGCAAUUGUCAUAUCACGUUGUGGUUUUGCGUAGGUAAGAAACGUUCUUGCUAGAAACCCAUAGCAACCACGUAAAACAUGCAAACAACAAUUAGAGGACGUCUAACUUGUUUUUGCAGGGUAUGCUAUGUGAUGUGAUAUGGCCAAGAAGAAUAUGAUGAAUGAUAUGUGAUGUAUGAGAUUGAUCAUGUUCGUGUAAUACGAAUCACGACUUGCAUGUCGAUGAGUAUGACAACCGGCAGGAGCCAUAGGAGUUGUCUUAGUUUAUUGUGUGACCUGCGUGUCAUUAAACAACGCCAUGUAAUUACUUUACUUUAUUGCUAACCGGUAGCCAUAGUAGUAGAAGUAAUAGUUGGCGAGAUAACUUCAUGAAGACACGAUGAUGGAGAUCAUGGUGUCAUGCCGGUGAGGAUGAUGGCCAUGGAGCCCCGAAGAUGGAGAUCAAAAGGAGCAAAAUGAUAUUGGCCAUAUCAUGUCACUAUUUGAUUGCAUGUGAUGUUUAUCAUGUUUAUACAUCUUAUUUGCUUAGAACGACGGUAGUAAAUAAGAUGAUCCCUCAUUAAAAUUUCAAGAAAGUGUUCCCCCUAACUGUGCACCGUUGCGAAAGUUCGUCGUUUCGAAGCACCACGUGAUGAUCAGGUGUGAUAGAUUCUUACGUUCACAUACAACGGGUGUAAGCCAGAUUUACACACGCGAAACACUUAGGUUAACUUGACGAGCCUAGCAUGUACAGACAUGGCCUCGGAACACAAGAGACCGAAAGGUCCGUCAUGAGUCGUAUGGAGGAUACGAUCAACAUGAAGAUGUUCACCGAUGAUGACUAGUCCGUCUCACGUGAUGAUCGGACACGGCCUAGUUGACUUGGAUCAUGUAAUCACUUAGAUGACUAGAGGGAUGUCUAUCUGAGUGGGAGUUCAUAAGACGAACUUAAUUAUCCUGAACAUAGUCAAAAACCCUUUGCAAAUUAUGUCAUAGCUCGUGCUAUAGUUCUAUUGUUUUAGAUAUGUUCCUAGAGAAAAUAUAGUUGAAAGUUGACAGUAGCGAUUAUGCGAUCAGUAGAAAGCUUAUGUCCUUAAUGCACCGCUCGGUGUGCAGAACCCCAAACGUCGUCUGUGGAUGUUGCGAACAUCGGACAUACACGUUUUGAUAACUACGUGAUAGUUCAGUUAAACGGUUUAGAGUUGAGGCACCAAAGACGUUUUUCGAAACAUCGCGGAACAUAUGAGAUGUUUCGAGGGCUGAAAUUGGGAUUUCAGGCUCGUGCCCAUGUCAAGAGGUACAAGACCUCUGACGAUUUUCUUAGCCUGCAAACUAAGGGAGAAAAGCUCAAUCGUUGAGCUUGUGCUCAGAUUGUCUGAGUGCAACAAUCACUUGAAUCGAGUGGGAGUUGAUCUUCCAGAUGAGAUAGUGAUGUUUCUCCAAAGUCAUUGCCACCAAGCUGCUAGAGCUUCGUGAUGAACUAUAACAUAUCAAGGAUAGAUAUGACGAUCCUUGAGGUAUUCACGAUGUUUGACACCGCGAAAGUAGAAAUCAAGAAGGAGCAUCAAUUGUUGAUGGUUGGUGAAACCACUAGUUUCAAGAAGGGCAAUGGCAAGAAGGGAUACUUCAUGAAACGACAAAUCAGCUGCUGCUCCAGUGAAGAAACCCAAGGUUGAACCUAAACCCGAGACUAAGUGCUUCUGUAAUAAGGGAACAGCCACUGGAGCAGGAUUACCCUAGAUACUUGGUAGAUAAGAAGGCUGGCAAGGUCGAUAGAAGUAUAUUGGAUAUACAUUAUGUUAAUGUGUACUUUACUAGUACUCCUAGUAGCACCAGGGUAUUAGAUACCGGUUCGGUUGCUAAGUGUUAGUAACUCAAAAUAAAAGCUACGGAAUAAACGAAGACUAGCUAAAGGUGAGCUGACGAUAUGUGUUGGAAGUGUUUCCAAGGUUGAUGUGAUCAAGCAUCGCACGCUCCCUCUACCAUCGAGAUUGGUGUUAAAAUAAUUGUUAUUUGGUGUUUGCGUUGAGCAUAGACAUGAUUGGAUUAUGUCUAUCGUGAUACGGUUAUUCAUUUAAGGAGAAUAAUGGUUACUCUGUUUAUUUGAAUAAUACCUUCAAUGGUAUUGCACCUAAAAGGAAUAGUUUAUUGAAUCUCGAUCGUAGUGAUACACAUUUUCAUGCCAAAAGAUAUAAGAUAGUAAUGAUAGUACCACUUACUUGUGGCACUGCCAUGUAAGUCAUAUUGGUGUAAAACGCAUGAAGAAGCUCCAUGUUGAUGGAUCUUUGGACUCACUCGUUUUUGAAAAGUUUGAGACAUGCGAACCAUGUCUAUUGGUGUAUACGCAUGAAGAAACUCCAUGCGGAUGGAUCGUUUGGACUCACUUGAUUUUGAAUCACUUGAGAUAUGCAAAUCAUACCACAUGGGCAAGAUGACUGAAAAGCCUCGGUUUCAGUAAGAUGGAACAAGAUAGCAACUUGUUGGAAGUAACACAUUUUGAUGUGUGCAGUCCAAUGAGUGCUGAGGCAUGCAGUGAAUAUCGUUAUGUUCUUACUUCACAGAUGAUUCGAGUAGAUGUUGAGUAUAUUUACUUGAUGAAACACAAGUCUGAAUUAUUGAAUGGUUCAAAUAAUUUCAGAGUGAAGUUAAAGAUCAUCGUGACAAGAGGAUAAAAUGUCUAUGAUAUGAUCAUAGAGAUGAGUAUCUGAGUUACGAGCUUUGGCACGCAAUUAAGACAUUGUGAAAAUUGUUUCACAAUUAAUACCGCCUGGAACACCAUAGUGUGAUGGUGUGUCCGAACAUCAUAGUUGCACCCUAUUGGAUAUGGUGCGUACCAUGAUGUCUCUUAUCGAAUUACCACUAUCGUCCAUGGGUUAGGCAUUAGAGACAACCGCACUCACUUUAAUAGGGCACCACGUAAUUUCGUUGAGACGACACCAUUUGAACUAUGGUUUGGAGAAACCUCAGUUGUCAUUUCUUAAAAGUUUGGGGCUGCGACACUUAUGUGAAAAGGUUUCAUCGUGAUAAGCUCGAAUCCAAAACGGAUAAAUACAUCUUCAUAGGAUACCCAAAAUGGUUGGGUAUACCUCCUAUCUCAGAUCCGGAAGCAAAAGUAAUUGUUUCUUGAAUCGGGUCCUUUCUCGAGGAAAAGUUUCUCUCGAAAGAAUUGAGUGGGAGGAUGGUGGAGACUUGAUGAGGUUAUUGAACCGUCACUUCUAAUAGUGUGUAGCAGGGCACAGGAAGUUGUUCCUGUGGCACCUACACCAAUUGAAGUAGAAGCGUAUGAUAGUGAUCAUGAAAUUUCGGAUCAAGUCACUACCGUACCUCGUAGGGUGAUGAGGAUGCGUACUACUUCAGAGUGGUACAGUAAUCCUAUCUUGAAGGUCAUGUUGCUAGACAACAAUGAACCUACGAGCUAUGGAGAAGCAAUGGUCGGCCCAUAUUCCAACAAAUGGUUAUAAGCCAUGAAAUCCGAGAUAGGAUCCAUGUAUCAAAACAAAGCAUGGACUUUGGUGGACUUGCCCGUUGAUCGGCAAGCCAUUGAGAUAAAUGGAUCUUUAAGAAGAAGGCGGACGUGAACGGUAAUGUCACCGUCUGUGAAGCUCUACUUGUGGCGAAGAGUUUUUCACAAGUUCAAGGAGUUGACUACGAUGAGAUUUUCUCAUCCGUAGCGAUGCUUAAGUCCGUCGAAAUCAUGUUAGCAUUAGCUGCAUUUAUGAAAUCAACCAAUUGGAUGUCAAAACGAGUUUCCUUACCAGUUUUCAUAAGGAAAGGUUGUAUGUGAUACAAUCAGAAAGGUUUGUCGAUCCUAAGGAUGCUAAAAGGUAUGCUAGCUCCAGCGAUCCUUCCAUGGAUCAGAGUAAGCAUCUCGGAGUUGGAAUAUACGCUUUGAUGAGAUGAUCAAAGAUUUUGGGUUUAUACAAAAGUUUAUGAGAAACUUGUAUUUCCAAAGAAGUGAGUGGGAGCGCUAUAGAAUUUAUGAUGAGUAUAUGUUGUUGACAUAUUGUUGAUCAGAAAUGAUGUAAAAUUUCUAGAAAGCAUAUGGGGUUAUUUGAAAAGUGUUUUUCAAUGGAGAACCUGGAUUAAGCUACUUGAACAUUGAGCAUCAAGAUCUAUGAGGAUAGAUCAAAAACAAAACGCUAAAUGAUACUUUCAAAUGAGCACAUACCUUGACAUGAUCUUGAAGGUGUUCAAGAUGGAUCAGUCAAAGGAGUUCUUGCCUGAGUUGUAAGGUAUGAAGUUAAGAGUUAAAGCUCGACCAUGGCAGAAGAGAGAGAAAGGACGAAGGUCGUCCCCUAUGCUUCAGACGUAGGCUCUAUAGUAUGCUAUGCUGUGUACCGCACCGGAAGUGUGCCUUGCCAUGAGUCAGUCAAGGGGUAUAAGAAUGAUCCAGGAAUGGAUCAUUGGAUAGCGGUCAAAAUUGUCCUUGGAGUAAUAAGGACAUGUUUCUCGAUUAUGGAAGUGAUAAAGAGUUCGGUGUAAAAGGUUACGUCGAUGCAAGCUUUAACACCUAUCCGAGUGACUCUGAGUAGCAAACCGGAUACGUAUAGUGGAGCAACCAUUUGGAAUAGCUCCAAGUGGAGCGUGGAAGCAGCAUUUACAAUAUGACCUAGAGAUUUGCGAAGUACAUACGGAUCUGAAUGUUGCAGACCCAUUGACUAAAACCUCUCUCACAAGCAAAACAUGAUCAAACCCCAGAACUCACUGAGUCUUAAUCACAUGAUGAUGUGAACUAAUUUAAUGACACUAGUAAACUCUUUGGAUGUUGGUCACAUGGCGAUGUGACGUGUGAUUGUUAAUCACAUGGCGAUGUGAACUAGAUUAUUGACUCUAGUGCAAGUGGGAGACUGUUGGAAAUAUGCCCUAGAGGCAAUAAUAAAUUGGUUAUUAUUAUUAUUUCCUUGUUCAUGAUAAUCGUUUAUUAUCCAUGCUAUAAUUGUAUUGAUAGGAAACUCAGAUACAUGUGUGGGUACAUAGACAACACCAUGUCCCUAGUAAGCCUCUAGUUGACUAGCUCGUUGAUCAAUAGAUGGUUACGGUUUCCUGGCCAUGGACAUUGGAUGUCGUUGAUAACGGGAUCACAUCAUUAGCAGAAUGAUGUGAUGGACAAGACCCAAUCCUAAGUCUAGCACAAAGAUCGUGUAGUUCGUAUGCUACAGCUUUUCUAAUGUCAAGUAUCAUUUCCUUAGACCAUGAGAUUGUGCAAAUCCCGGAUACCAUAGGAAUGCUUUGGUUGUACCAAACGUCACAACGUAAGUGGGUGGCUAUAAAGGUGCACUAUAGGUAUCUCCAAAAGUGUCUGUUGGGUUGGCACGAAUCGAGACUGGGAUUUGUCACUCCGUGUAAACGGAGAGGUAUCUCUGGGCCCACUCGAUAGGACAUCAUCAUAAUGUGCACAAUGUGACCAAGGGGUUGAUCACGGGAUGAUGUGUUACGGAACGAGUAAAGAGACUUGUCGGUAACGAGAUUGAACAAGGUAUUGGUAUACCGACGAUCGAAUCUCGGGCAAGUACAAUACCGUUAGACAAAGGGAAUUGUAUACGGGAUAGAUUGAGUCCUUGACAUCGUGGUUCAUCCGAUGAGAUCAUCGUGGAACAUGUGGGAGCCAACAUGGGUAUCCAGAUCCCGCUGUUGGUUAUUGACCGCAGGACGUCUCGGUCAUGUCUGCAUGGUUCCCGAACCCGUAGGGUCUACACACUUAAGGUUCGAUGACGCUAGGGUUAUAAAAGAAGUUUGUAUGUGGUUACCGAAUGUUGUUCAGAGUCCCGGAUGAGAUCCCGGAUGUCACGAGGAGUUCCGGAAUGGUUCGGAGGUAAAGAUUUAUAUAUGGGAAGUCCUGUUUUGGUCACCGAAAAAGUUUCGGGUUUUAUCGGUAACGUACCGGAACCACCGGGAGGGUCCCGGGGGUCCACCAAGUGGGGCCACCAUCCCCGGAGGGCUGCAUGGGCCAAGUGUGGGAGGGUACCAGCCCCAUGUGGGCUGGUGCGCCCCCCCACCAAGGCCCAAGGCACAGGGAAGAGUGGGAGGGGGCAAACCCUAGGGCAGAUGGGCCCUAAGGCCCACCCCAGGUGCGCCUCCCCUCUCUCCCCCUCUGGACGCCACCCAGAUGGGAUCUGGGGGCUGCCGCCACCCCUGGGGAGGGAACCCUAGAGGGGGCACAGCCCCCUCCCCUUCCCCUAUAUAUAGUUGAGGUCUAGGGGCUGCCCAACACAUGAGUUUCUCUCCCUCUUGGCGCGACCCUACCUCUCUUCCUCCUCCUCUCCCGCGGUGCUUGGCGAAGCCCUGCAGGAUUGCCAUGCUACUCCAUCACCACCACGCCGUUGUGCUACUGCUGGACGGAGUCUUCCUCAACCUCUCCCUCUCUCCUUGCUGGAUCAAGGCGUGGGAGACGUCACCGGGUUGUACGUGUGUUGAACGCGGAGGUGUCGUCCGUUCGGCCCUAGGAUCUCCGGUGAUUUGGAUCACGACGAGUACGACUCCUUCAACCCCGUUCUCUUGAACGCUUCCGCUUAGCGAUCUACAAGGGUAUUUAGAUGCACUCUCUUUCCCCUCGUUGUUGGUUUCUCCAUAGAUAGAUCUUGGUGACACGUAGGAAAAUUUUGAAUUUCUGCUACGUUCCCCAACAUUUUGCUCUUGUGUAACAGUUCAACAUGUCUUAUGUCAUCAAUUCAUAAUGAAAAAAGCAGGAAUAGUUCAAAACGUGUGCGUGUUAAAAACAGAACAAUAUAGAUAAACUUCCGUAUCAGUUCGAUGGAAUAAAUCACAUCAGUUCUGACCCGGAUCGGCUGUUGCCUACAAUGCAUUGAAAAUAAAUUUUUGAAUCAAAUCAAUCUAGUUGUUCUAUAUUGGCUUAAAGUUUUCGUAUCUUUAUCUUACUGAUGAUGCUCUGAACUGAACAAGAGUGCUGGGUAAUAAGUGUGCCUUUGGUUUAAUACUAAAAGAUCUGUUCGCUGACUUAUAGUAGCAAAAUCUCAUGGAAGUGUGUGUUGGUGGCUUCAAUUAAUUUUACGCUUGCAUACAGGAUGGUGGCAGUGGUGGCGCAGAAUUGGAGAAAGAAAAAGAGGAAAGCCGUCCAAAAAACUUAACAUUUUUUCAUGUUUCUCUCUAGCUGAAAUGAAGCAAGACUAAUGUACUACAGUUCAUCUCUCUGCACAGCAGGUUCAUGUACAUCGACGACGUCGCCAUGCGUGCAUGCUCCAAC